CGUACACUCCUGCGGGAGGCAGCAGUGGGGAAUAUUGCACAAUGGGCGCAAGCCUGAUGCAGCCAUGCCGCGUGUAUGAAGAAGGCCUUCGGGUUGUAAAGUACUUUCAGCGGGGAGGAAGGCAAUACGGUUAAUAACCGUGUUGAUUGACGUUACCCGCAGAAGAAGCACCGGCUAACUCCGUGCCAGCAGCCGCGGUAAUACGGAGGGUACAAGCGUUAAUCGGAAUUACUGGGCGUAAAGCGCACGCAGGCGGUCUGUCAAGUCGGAUGUGAAAUCCCCGGGCUCAACCUGGGAACUGCAAUCGAAACUGGCAGGCUUGAGUCUUGUAGAGGGAGGUAGAAUUCCAGGUGUAGCGGUGAAAUGCGUAGAGAUCUGGAGGAAUACCGGUGGCGAAGGCAGCCCCCUGUACAAAGACUGACGCUCAGGUGCGAAAGCGUGGGGAGCAAACAGGAUUAGAAACCCGAGUAGUCCC
rnacentral:rRNA from 1 species